rfam:Ophiostoma piceae TAMH 11346 chromosome Tnknown scf38, whole genome shotgun sequence.
GGGCUUGUGGUUUAGUGGUAUAAUAUUUCCUUAGCAUGGAAGGGGUCCAGGGUUCGAUUCCCUGCAAGUCCA